rnacentral:rRNA from 1 species
CGUAAAGAGCUCGUAGGUGGUUUGUCGCGUUGUUCGUGAAAUCUCACGGCUUAACUGUGAGCGUGCGGGCGAUACGGGCAGACUAGAGUACUGCAGGGGAGACUGGAAUUCCUGGUGUAGCGGUGGAAUGCGCAGAUAUCAGGAGGAACACCGGUGGCGAAGGCGGGUCUCUGGGCAGUAACUGACGCUGAGGAGCGAAAGCGUGGGGAGCGAACAGGAUUAGAUACCCUGGUAGUCCACGCCGUAAACGGUGGGUACUAGGUGUGGGUUUCCUUCCUUGGGAUCCGUGCCGUAGCUAACGCAUUAAGUACCCCGCCUGGGGAGUACGGCCGCAAGGCUAAAACUCAAAGGAAUUGACGGGGGCCCGCACAAGCGGCGGAGCAUGUGGAUUAAUUCGAUGCAACGCGAAGAACCUUACCUGGGUUUGACAUGCACAGGACGCGUCUAGAGAUAGGCGUUCCCUUGUGGCCUGUGUGCAUGACUGUCGUCAGCUCGUGUCGUGAGAUGUUGGGUUAAGUCCCGCAACGAGCGCAACCCUUGUCCCAUGUUGCCAGCGGGUACUGCCGGGGACUCGUGAGAGACUGCCGGGGUCAACUCGGAGGAAGGUGGGGAUGACGUCAAGUCAUCAUGCCCCUUAUGUCCAGGGCUUCACACAUGCUACAAUGGCCGGUACAAAGGGCUGCGAUGCCGUAAGGUUAAGCGAAUCCUUUUAAAGCCGGUCUCAGUUCGGACUGGGGUCUGCAACUCGACCCCAUGAAGUCGGAGUCGCUAGU